CCUACGGGUGGCUGCAGUGAGGAAUAUUGGUCAAUGGCCGAAAGGCUGAACCAGCCAAGUCGCGUGAGUGAAGACGGCCCUACGGGUUGUAAACCUCUUUUGUCGGGGAGCAAAGAGAGUCACGUGUGACUCAUUGAGAGUACCCGAAGAAAAAGCAUCGGCUAACUCCGUCCAAGCAGCCGCGGUAAUACGGAGGAUGCGAGCGUUAUCCGGAUGUAUUGGGUUUAAAGGGUGCUCAGGCGGAGGGGCAAGUCAGCGGUAAAAUUGCGGGGCUCAACCCCGUACUGCCGUUGAAACUGCAUCCCUUGAGUGCGCGAGAAGUAUGCGGAAUGCGUGGUGUAGCGGUGAAAUGCAUAGAUAUCACGCAGAACUCCGAUGGCGAAGGCAGCAUACCGGCGCGCAACUGACGCUCAUGCACGAAAGCGUGGGUAUCGAACAGGAUUAGAUACCCUAGUAGUC
rnacentral:rRNA from 1 species